rnacentral:rRNA from 1 species
AGUGGAUGGGGAGCAACCUAGUUGUGCGUGUGUAAAGGUAGUGCCAAGAAAAGCGAUGAUCAUGUUGAAAAUCAAUUCCCGGUACCCGAAACCGACACAGGUGGGCAAGUAGAGAAAACUAAGGGGCGCGAGGUAACUCUCUCCAAGGAACUCGGCAAAAUGACCCCGUAACUUAGGGAGAAGGGGUGCCACCGAGAGGUGGUCGCAGUGAAGAGGCCCAGGCGACUGUUUAGCAAAAACAUAGGUCUCUGCAAACUCGAAAGAGGAGGUAUAGGGGCUGACGCCUGCCCAGUGCCGGAAGGUUAAAGAAGUUGGUCAGUUUUAGGAUGAAGCUAGCGACUGAAGCCCCGGUGAACGGCGGCCGUAACUAUAACGGUCCUAAGGUAGCGAAAUUCCUUGUCGGGUAAGUUCCGACCCGCACGAAAGGCGUAACGAUCUGGGCGCUGUCUCGGAGAGAGGCUCGGCGAAAUAGGAUUGUCUGUGAAGAUACGGACUACCUGCAUUUGGACAGAAAGACCCUAUGAAGCUUUACUAUAGCUUGGAAUUGUGUUCGGGCUUCCUGUGCGCAGGAUAGGUGGGAGGCGUAGAAGGUAUUCUUGUGGGGAUACUGGAGCCAACGGUGAGAUACCACUCUCAGGAGGCUAGAAUUCUAACUUAAUUAAGGACAGUUUCAGGUGGGUAGUUUGACUGGGGCGGUCGCCUCCAAAAAGGUAACGGAGGCGUACAAAGGUUCCCUCAGACUGGUUGGAAAUCAGUCGAAGAGUGCAAAGGCAGAAGGGAGCUUGACUGCGAGAAGUACAGUUCGAGCAGGGUGGAAACACGGUCUUAGUGAUCCGACGGUGCUGUGUGGAAGGGCCGUCGCUCAACGGAUAAAAGUUACUCUAGGAUAACAGGCUGAUCUCCCCCAAGAGUUCACAUCGACGGGGAGGUUUGGCACCUCGAUGUCGGCUCAUCGCAACCUGGGGCGGAAGUACGUCCCAAGGGUUGGGCUGUUCGCCCAUUAAAGCGGUACGUGAGCUGGGUUCAGAACGUCGUGAGACAGUUCGGUCCAUAUCCGAUGUAGGCGUGAGAAUAUUGAGAGGAGCCUUCCUUAGUACGAGAGGACCGGGAAGGACGCACCGCUGGUGUACCUGUUAUGAUGCCAAUUGUAAACGCAGGGUAGCCAAGUGCGGAGAGGAUAACCGCUGAAAGCAUCUAAGUGGGAAGCCCACCUCAAGAUGAGUAUUCUGGUGUAAGGUCACGGGAAGACGACCCGUAAAUAGGCACGAGGUGGAAGUGCAGAGAUGUAUGAAGCCGAAGUGUACUAAUAGACCGUCGGCUUGAC